AAAAGGAAACUUUUUAUUUUGGUGGGGAGUGAGAGGCUGGGUGGGGAAAGGGGCGUGGCUUUUUCUUUGAGGAGGGGGUGACAUGCGGCAGCUUCUGCAUUGGGCGGUUCAUGCACCCUGGGUGGGCGUGGGGGGAGGCUUGGGGGGAGGGGCCUGCCGACCCCUCCCUCCCUGCCCUGCGGGAGGACUGAGAAGGCCCCCUUUAGCACCAGAGUUGGACGAUUUGCAAAGCUCGCCUCCCAGGCUCCGGACCCCGCCCCCAUCCCUGGGAGCGCCCCUCUGCCCCUCCUCCCCCCACAGGCCAGGCCCGCCCCGCCCACUUCCGAGUGAGAGAAAUUUAUUGCUGUGUGUGUGUUUUGGGGAGGGGGAGCCUCAGAAGCUCCACCCCCCGCCAUUCCUUCCUCCCCGAUCGCCCCGCCCCAUGCCCCGUGUCCGUGCGUUCCCGGAGCGCAGGAGGGGCGCGACAUGCGAGUGGGGGGCACGCGUCAUGCAGCGCAUGCGUGUAGUUGCAGGCACCUGGCGGCCGAGGAGAAAGGAGCGGACUAGGAGGCAGUCCCUUUAGCUCGCCCUCCCUCCCCGAAUCCCACACUUUGUUGACUUGGGGGGUGGGGAGGGGCGGGACGAAAGUCACGUUUUGUAGAUGUUUAUGAUGGUGGGGUUUGUUUUUAAGCUGAACUAAAAAGCUGGGUACGUGUGGCCGAUUGGCGAGCAGGGGGAGCCGUUGGGAAGAGGUCAGUACCCUUGGGGAAAGACUCACCCCCCUUCCCUGCCCUGUUCUUUGUGUGAGGGUCAGGGGAAACUGGGGGGCUGUUUAAAGAAGUUGAACCCUUUGGCAAUAUGAUCAGUCCCCACCCGCACCCUAGUGUCCGGAGCCCCUAGCCCUUUACCCCGCCCCAACCUCCCCCUCCCCACCCUUCACCCGAUUCACCAGGGCUUAGGGGGCCGAGGGGAGGAUGGGGGGACUCAAAAUGCCCCUUGCAUAGGAAUCGUUGCAUCGAGAAUCGUGCUCAGUGACGCCCCCACCCGCCCACGGUUGGGCGCAGGGGGGUUCCUGAGGCUGCAGGAGCAGGGGGAGGGAGGGGGACGAUUCCGCGGGCCCCCAGCUCCAAGGGGGGCUCCGCUAAGGAUUCUGGGACCGGCGCGGGCUCUGGGCCGGGGAGGUAGCGCAUCCUUGAGCCCGGAUGCGGUAUGAGGGGUGGCUUCCGCGAGCGUGGCGGCAAGUGAGGGGCGCCAGCCCUCUGGGGACGGCUUGGUCUCCCAGGCUGACUCUGCAGCGUCCCUCCAAUUGGGCCCGGCCCAUGCGGUCCGGGAGUGCCUCCGAUGGAAACACUUGUAACCUACAUGAUGCCCCGACCAAGCAGCGCUACCCGAUUCACGCGCAAAAUGUGCGCAUUCAAGAGAAAGCUUUUUAAACAGGCGCUCUUCGGGGUGCUGCCCACAACCUUGUCCUGCCAGCAAGGGCACCAGUGCGACACACCGGGAAACUGGUGGCCAUGAAGGGGGCACCUUUGGGCACCAUCUCGGGGAAGGGGCCUGUGGGCAGGGCCGGGGUGAAAGAGGGGCUGCUGGGUCUGGCUCCCUGGAGUUGCGGACAGGCAGAGCCCGCCUGGGAAGUUCUAGCGUCGGGGGUCCUGGGAAGGAUGAGUCUGAUGUUCUUUGUGGGACUUGAGGGUGUUGGGGAGCAGGCCGGAAGAUCUGGGGGUGUCCGGGAAAUGUCAGAGUUGUGGGAAAGAUCUGGAGCAUCCCAAAGGCUGAACUGAGCUGGAGCUGGGUGGACGCUUGGAGGUCUGAAGUGCUGGGGGUGCGACCCGGGGAAUGGGAGUGUGGGAGGGGCAGGGGGAAGCGUCUGUUUGCAGCGGAGAAGCCCCCAAAGUGUGUGGACAUUUGGGGGCGCAGGGUGCCAGGGCCCAUCUCAGGAAUUCCAGAUGCAGGUCUUAAUGUCCUGGGAAUGGAGGGGUGGGGACUUUGAGGGCCUGGGAUUCCCAGGAACCCUGGGUGAGGGGUCUGAGUCCAUGCAGAGAGGACAGAAGCGAGCAGCUCCCUUGUGUGUGUGGGGGGGGGACGAAAUUCACCAGCGGGAUCUUCCCGAAGGCCGGGGGAGCCGCCAUGGGCAGCGCACGCUCCUGAGCUCCUGCCUCAGCCGACCGCCUGUCCUCGGAGGGCGUCCCUCCUGCCCCUGUCCUAGGUGGCUCCCUCCUGAUCAGUGUGUGUUGGGUUGGUUGCCCUGAGGUGGAGGGCAAGAGACUGCCCCUGUGGCUUGAAGACCAGCCUGACCCCUAGAGGUUCCAGCCCCUCCCCUCCAACUCUCGGCUUGUAGCCCCUGGCGGCUUAUUGCUAAGGUGGUUUGGGAGCAGGGGGUCUGGCUGGAGAGCAUGCAGAGUAGGGGCGCCCCGAGAUGGAAUUGGUGUGGUUUGGACUUAUUUACACGACUUGAUGGGAGAGGGUGUCCUAUGGCUCAUGGAGACCUGAGAAGGCUUUUUGUGGGGGAGUGGGGUGGGUGGGGGGAUGGGCUUUGGCCCCUCCCCUUCCAUCCUAGGGGCCCAGGUGGGGGUCGAGAGCCCCGGGGGUGUCUGCUGGCGGGGGUGUCUGCUGGCGUCAUCAUCUCGGUUGCAUAUUAUUAAUGACUUUUUGAUUUUUUUAAAAAAAUACCUUCCCCAUCCCCCCACCCCCAGCUCCUUUGACCUUCUUCCUGGUCACCCCCGAGUCCCCCCACAGGGGGGAGGGAGUGCUAGAGGAUGGAGGGCAGGGUUGGGGGGGCGCGGCGGGUGGCCCGGGGAGAGCCAGGGGGGGUGGCAAGGGGCGCGAGGCGCAGGGACACCCCGCUCAGGCCCGCGAUGCUGCUCAGGCUGCGGGAUUUCUCGUAACCUGGGGAAGGGGCAGAAACACGAGGAGGAAGCAUGGAGAUGGGGCGCGGGGCAGGUCCCACGGAGAGACCCCCAAGACAGGGAGAGAGAGAGACAAGGGAGAGGGCGAGAGACAUCCAGAGAGACAAAGGCAGUGGGGAACAGUUAGAGACAGAGAGGGAGGGGGCACAAAAAGAGGGGGCGAGGUGCAGAGGUGGGUGGUGCGGGCCGAGGAGGUGGAGAGAGAAGUGAACAAAUCGCAGUCAGUCAGCGUCCACGAGGAAGGUGCAGACACGGGGCGGGGCGGGGAGACUCCGGAUUGGGAGGCGGCGCGCCCCCAGGCCUCCGCCCCUCCCCACCGACCCCCACCCCUGUGGUCCCCUAGUCUGAGGCCAAAGGUGGGGGGCAGCAAGGCAGGAUGGUGGGCGGCAGGGUCGUGAGGAGGGGCUGGGUGGAAUGGAGUGGGGGAGCAGCCGGUGGGGAGGGCUGGGGGGACCAGCUGAGGCGGCAGCGCGGGGCUGGGGGCCACCAGCCUCGAGGAUAGGCCGGGAGGCCUGGACGGAGCCAGAGCGGGGUGGGGGGGCCUUGGGGAGUCCAGGCGGACUCCAAGGGCGGGAGGGGAGGGGCGAGGCUCGGGCCGAGGCAGCCAGGGUCCAGGAGUGUCCAGGAAGUCAGGGAGGCAGGACCGAUCUGGGGUACCCCAGAGCUGAAAUGGGCGUCUGCGGUGAAGGUGACGGGAAGGCCUUAGGGGUACACCUCGGGGAGCCCGGACCCGGAGGUCCUGCGUGUGGUUUCUACCAUCGCACCUCAUGUGGUGGCUUUUCUGGGCAGAGGGGGGGCUGUCUGGAGUGGGGGUCCUGAAUGGAGGAGAAAGGGCCUGGGGACUGAAGCCCGAUAUCUUGGGUUUACCCCCUGCCCCGCCCCCCCCGUUCCCAAAUGCUAACCUGGGGGGAAGGGGCAGGGGGGACCCGAGGGUCUCGCGAGGUCUCAGGCGGUGACCAGAGCUGGGGACAGAAAUACAGAGAGUCACAGUGGGGAGGAGCAUGGAGGGGGAACCCCCCCAACACAGCCUCACUGUUGGGGGGGGAUGGAGAACGCCAGAACCUCUUCCUCCUCCUCGCUGUUUUCUGGGGGAGGGGGAGCAGUGAAAUGGGCGUGGCCAGAGACAUCAAAUAUGGAAGGAGCUUCCGGGGUGGCUGGGGGGCAUGGGAGGAGGAGGAGGGGACAGGGGUGGGGAAGGGAGAGGAGGAAUGACAGGGUGUGGGUCGCAGGGUGUCUUGGGGGAAGGAGGGUCAAGGGUCACCUGGGGAGGGAGGAGUGGGGGUGGCUCAGGCUUCGGGACACACAGGUGAGGGUCCAGUCACCCCAUCAGCUCCAGUCAUUAUUUGAGUUCAGUGAAUGGAUGUUGGCAUCGUAGGCAAGAGAAGCAGGGACCACCCCCCAGCCCUCACCAGAUCCCCCACCCCACCUCCAUUCUACCCCCCCAUUCCACCAGGGCCCCUCAGACCUAGGGGUGGGACAUCAGGGCCACAGGGAGUGGGAACAAGCAGGGGAAGAGCUGGGGGGGAGGAGAUGACAAUGGAGGACUGUGAGGGUCAUGGAAAGGGGGGCACAGACUCUGGACGGGAGCCGAAGCCUUCUCCUCCCUGGACUGUGUGGGACAUGGGGGCUUGGCCAGGCAUCCUGGGGGGCCCCCAGGUUCCCCUACAGCUUCUCCUUAGGCUUCUUCAGGGUGUGUUUGUUUCUAAAGGGAGAAGUCUGUGGACAUUUGCUCAGAUAAGCUUCCCAUCACAUUUGUGAUCAAUCCCAGCAUCUUCAUGGCCAUGGUCUUGUUCCCCACUCCCUCGGUACCCCUCUUCCCUGGCUUGCUCAGCCCCAGCCACAGUGGCUGUUUCUUUAAGAGACCACUUCAGCACCUCAGGACUUGCCUUGUUGCUCCUUUUUGUUUGUUUCCCCCUUCUUCCUCCAAUUAGAGCUUGGCUGACUUUUCCUGUACAGCACUAAAUAGUAAACACUUUUUGGCUAUAGGAACCAUAUGGCCUCAGUCACAAUUACUCUGCUGUGUUGUAGCUUAACAUGAUUUGUGUCCCAAUAAAGUUUUAUUUACAAAAACAGCUGGCUGGAAGCUUAGAGCCCUAUUACCAAUCUGUGCUCUAGAUUGUGAAGCUGUGAUGGAAGGUUCUCCCUUUGCUCACCACCAGAUCUCCAGGGCCUGGGGCUGUGGCCUCAUUGCUUCAGGCCAUGGUGACACACAACUGUAAUCCUAGCUACAUGGAAGGCUAAGGCAGGAGGAUUAAGUCUGAGGUCAGCCUGGGCAACUUAGUGAGACCUUGUCUCAAAAAAAAAUUUUUUUUUUUGGUACUGGGGGGAUCAAACUCAGGACCUUUCACUUGCAAGGCAGGCACCAGAACCACUGAGGUAAAUCCUCAGCCCCCCAAAAAAUUUUUUUAAAGCUGGAUAUGGUGGCACAUGUCUGUAAUUCCAGAAUUUGGGAGGCUGAAGUAGGAAGACUGCCACGAGUUCAAAGCCCACCUAUGCUACAUAGUGAGUUCAAGGCCAGCUUGAACUACAUAGUGAGAAGCUGUCUCAAAAAAUAAAAAUCAAAAAAUUUAAAGGACGGGGUUGUAGCUCGGGGGUAGAGUACUUAUAGUUGCAAGGCCCUGGGUUCAAUCCUCAGCACCAUAAAGGGGGGGGGGGCAAGAUCAUAGAGUAUAUUAACUUCCAGCACAUGGGAGGUACUGGGCUUUGCAUUGCUAAGGACCUCUUCAUCCCUGCCCCCACGUCUUGACCUCUGACCCCUUCCUGUCCAUCCCCACAGCUUAAGUCUCUUGUUUCCCCAAGACCCUCACCUCAGCCUGACCUCAUCUGACUGCUGCCUCCCUCUAAUCACGGGGAGGUGGCUUCUCUUCUCCAACCUGGGCACCGGAAGUUGUCCCUGUCCCUCCCCCAGGAGUCUUGUGUAUUCCUCUUCCUCCGCCCAAGCACAGGUGACCUCCACUGAUGACUCCAGACUUGACUGCCUCCCUGCAGCUCCUGCCUAACUCACAGCCCCUGGCGCCCAGCAUCCCGCACCCAGAAGCGUCUGGGUGCACACCCCACUUUCCUAAUGGAACGCAAACCCAGGGGAGGAGCAGGGAGAGAUCGUGAUGGGGAUCAGUCAUGAGGACAGGGUGUGGAGGGAUGGUGGGGUUAGUUCUGGGGGGUUAGGUGGGGACAUGGUGAGUCGGGGGGCGCUGGGGUCAGUGUCAGGGAGGGGUGCAGCUGUUCACAGUGGGGGAGCAGAGUCUCGGUCAGUGGGGCUGCAUGUUGUGGGAAGGGUUAGUCGAGGGGAAAGGGAAGGGGGGGGAGCAGGGGGGCUACUUACCCCGGGGGAGGGGUUCGUCCACUAGGGGGGGAUAUCCAGGCUGCGGCGUUGGCGUUGAGGUCGGGCAAGAAGCUUGGGGGCCUGGCUUACGCCAGUCGUGGGGGAGCAGGGGGAGCACCAGUGGCUGGGUGAGGAGGAGGCCAAGGGGCAGGGGAUGGAGAUGGAAUAAAGACAGUGAAGGGUCAGUGGAGAGGGGCCUGGGGCGGCAGGUUUGGGAGGGGAGGCAGUGUGGGGCAAGGAUGGGGGAGAGGGAAGCUGGGCACCCCACCCUCACCCUCUCCACCCCACCCCCCGGCAGGGGAGGGCGAAGAGGGUCCCGGCAGGGGGCCCAUGGAGCCCACCUCACCUUUUCGGAUGGAGCCGUCAGGGGGAAGGGGCAUAGUCGGUGAGGAGAAAGCAGGCACGGUCCCGGCUGUAGCGGCCCCGGCUCGGGGUGAUGGGGCUCUUGUCCUCGGGGGACGCGGCGGGCUGGUCGAUGGCGGGACAAUCCUCGUGGGCCAGCGCAGCUGCGCAGGAUCGCCAUUGGGGCGGGGAUCUGCUUCCCCGGGGUCAGACAGACACAGAGGAGAGAGUGAGGGUCGGAAUGAGGGCAGAGACAAGAUUCCAGGCCAGGGUCCCUGGGGGAACCUGGGGUGGGGACAGGGCGCCUGCGGGGCUGGGGCCGGGCGUGCGGGUGCGGGGGAAGAAUGCAGGAAGACGUGGCUGCGUGCUGGGGUUGGUGGGAGCCAGCUGAGCAGACCCUGACCCAGGUGGGAUGCUGGGGGCCUGGAGGGGACGGCUGGAUGAGGCAGGGAGGAAGUGGUAGUGGGGUGCUGAAAGGGCAGCGUGGGGACGGGCUGAGAGGAUAGAUGAGGGAGGGGAAGGUGGGGGUCCCCUAGGGGCUGACUCGAGCUAUUUUUAAUGGGUGUGAAACCGGGUCAGUGGCUGAGGGAACAAGAUGGGGGCUGGGUGGCCCAGCUCCCUUUCUUGACCUACUUAAGGCCUGGGGGUGGGGCCCACCUCUCCCUCCUCCCCGACACUCAGAUUACUGUCUCCGAGGGACUCCUGGACCUGGAUGUACGCAAGCACGCUCGCACCAGCACGCACACAUGCAUGCACGCACGCACAGACGCAGGGACAGUCGACCUUCUCCCUCCCGCGCCCCCGCCCCUCCUCCCCUCAGUGACAUCUGUGUGGAGCUCUCUCUAGAGCCGCCCAGCACCCUGGCACCCCAGCCUCUCUGCCCUGUGACCUCUAGAGGCCCGCUGUGACCUCACUGUGAGGCCAUCCUGGCUUCUCUCGACGGCCCCACCUGCCCUCACCCGCCUGCCCCUUUGUCUCUGCACUUCCUCCUGCAGACCCACCGUGUCCCACUGUCAACCCAGGACUGUCCCUUUCCCCCAGCCUCCUUCUCCAGCCUGCCCAGGCCCCACGAGAGACUCUGGAGUCCCUCUCGCCAAAUGGCCCAUUGCUCUGCCUCCAUGGCCCCUCGGAACAGCGUGGCUUCCAGUCUGCCUCUCUCCAAAGAGAGACAAGAAAUCCCGCGCUUCUGUGGGUCCGUGGGGCUCCUCUCUGGCCUGCCUCACCGUCGCCUUCCCUCUCCCCACUGUGUCCGGCCGCCUUGUCUCUGAGCCUCCCACCGGUCUCCAUCUGCUCCACACCCCCAAGCCAGCCUCACCUGCCCUGUUGAUUUCAACCACUUCCUCCUGAGCCAGUGGGCAGGGCUCACCAGGGGCCGGCAGGGGAGGCAGCCCCAUGAUCCCCAGUCCCCCUGCACCCCCCUGAGCAGCCCGGGGUGCGUGUGGGAGCCCUGGCGAGGUAGGCCCCAGCCACAGUCACCCCCACGGAGGGUGGGCUGAUGGGUGGGGGGGGGGCUGAUGCCCCCGCUGCCGUGGUGAGGGGGUGUGUUGGAGGUGGCGGGGGUGGGUCAGGCUUGCAGUAGUUGGGCGAGCCAGGCUGGGGGGCCGAGGGGGAUGUGUUUGUUCUUCUUCUUAGGCAGCUUCUGUUUGGCCAUGGCCAGUGAAUAGUACAUGCCAAAAUUGUUGACAAUGACAGGAACAGGCAUGGCGAUAGUCAGCACCCUGCCAGGGCACACAGCGCCCCAACCAGCAUCCCAGACCACGUCUUGGGGUACAUGUCUCUCCAUAGCCCAGGGUCGUCAUGGUGACCACAGCCCACCAGAAGCCCCGAUGGGGAUGUUCUUGAAGUAGGUGUAGUUGGACCCCAGGAUGUCGUCGGGUCGGCGCCAAUGCGCUCAGCAUAGUAGAUCAUGGUGGCAAAGAUGAGCACCCCAGGGCCAGGAAGAUGAUGAGCAGCAGGAACUCAUUGGUGCUGGCAGGCGUAAAGCGUGUGGCCCAGCACCCGCAGCCCCACGAAGUGGCGGGUCAGCUUGAAGAUACGCAAGAUUCGGACAAAGCGCACGACAGCGCAGGAAGCCCAACACGUCCUUGGCGGCCUUGGAGCUGAGGCCCGAGAGGCCGACCUCAGGUAGAAGGGCAGAAUGGCCACACAGUCGAUGAUGUUGAGGCUGCUCUUGAGAAACUCCACCUUGUCCGGGCAGAAGGUGAUGCGCAUGAGGAACUCAAAGGUGAACCAGACCACGCACGCGCCCUCCACGUC
rnacentral:lncRNA from 1 species